rnacentral:rRNA from 1 species
CCUACGGGGGGCAGCAGUGAGGAAUAUUGGUCAAUGGACGCGAGCCUGAACCAGCCAAGUAGCGUGAAGGAUGACUGCCCGAUGGGGUGUAAACUUCUUUUAUAUGGGAAUAAAGUGCAGUAUGUAUACUGCUUUGCAUGUACCUUAUGAAUAAGGAUCGGCUAACUCCGUGCCAGCAGCCGCGGUAAUACGGAGGAUCCGAGCGUUAUCCGGAUUUAUUGGGUUUAAAGGGAGCGGAGGCGGGUUGUUAAGUCAGUUGUGAAAGUUUGCGGCUCAACCGUAAAAUUGCAUUUGAUACUGGCAGCCUUGAGUACAGUAGCGGUAGGCGGAAUUCGUGGUGUAGCGGUGAAAUGCUUAGAUAUCACGAAGAACUCCGAUUGCGAAGGCAGCCUGCUGGACUGUAACUGACACUGAUGCUCGAAAGUGUGGGUAUCAAACAGGAUUAGAUACCCCUGUAGUC